UACGUAGGGCGCAGGCGUUAAUCGGAAUUACUGGGCGUAAAGCGUGCGCAGGCGGUUUGUUAAGACAGGUAUGAAAUCCCCGGGCUUAACCUGGGAACUGCGCUUGUUACUGGCAGACUUGAGUGUGGCAGAGGGGGGUGGAAUUCCAGGUGUAGCAGUGAAAUGCGUAGAGAUCUGGAGGAACACAGAUGGCGAAGGCAGCCCCCUGGGUUAACACUGACGCUCAUGCACGAAAGCGUGGGGAGCAAACAGG
rnacentral:rRNA from 1 species